CUAACACAUGCAAGUCGAGCGGCAGCGGGAAAGUAGCUUGCUACUUUUGCCGGCGAGCGGCGGACGGGUGAGUAAUGCCUGGGGAUCUGCCCAGUCGAGGGGGAUAACUACUGGAAACGGUAGCUAAUACCGCAUACGCCCUACGGGGGAAAGCAGGGGACCUUCGGGCCUUGCGCGAUUGGAUGAACCCAGGUGGGAUUAGCUAGUUGGUGAGGUAAUGGCUCACCAAGGCGACGAUCCCUAGCUGGUCUGAGAGGAUGAUCAGCCACACUGGAACUGAGACACGGUCCAGACUCCUACGGGAGGCAGCAGUGGGGAAUAUUGCACAAUGGGGGAAACCCUGAUGCAGCCAUGCCGCGUGUGUGAAGAAGGCCUUCGGGUUGUAAAGCACUUUCAGCGAGGAGGAAAGGUUGGUAGCUAAUAACUGCCAGCUGUGACGUUACUCGCAGAAGAAGCACCGGCUAACUCCGUG
rnacentral:rRNA from 1 species